rnacentral:snoRNA from 1 species
AGGCAUCGCCUGAUAGGCCGGGAGUGAUUCCCUUUCCUCUCCGGCUUGCAUUCAGAUGCCAGAGUGACUCUCCUCCCUGCGCUUUCUGUCUGCCCUGAUUCCCGUAGCAGCUCAGAUUGAAUAAGGGAGAACAUUU